GGACAUCGAAGAAUGCGGUAACAAGGGAUGACUUCCAUUCAGAGUGCGUCGAAUCAAUGAGAUCAACAACUAGUUCAGGUUCCCCUUCCACUGAGAGACAACGGAAGCUUGAAGAUAGACAUGGCAUACUGCGGAUCCAGGAGAACAUCUCCCUUUUGGAUCGGCCCUAAUCCGAGGGGAUACCCAGGUACUUUCCAUACUUACUGAGAAUAGGUACUCUGAGUUCUUGUGCUAGAUUCUGUUGUAAAGAAAUAGGACAGUAUUUGCUAAAGAACACACCUGAUUUAUUUCUAUUAAUGAGC